UUAGCUUAGGUUGGCGGGGUAAUGGCCCACCAAGGCGACGAUCCGUAGCUGGUCUGAGAGGAUGAUCAGCCACACUGGAACUGAGACACGGUCCAGACUCCUACGGGAGGCAGCAGUAGGGAAUAUUGGACAAUGGGCGCAAGCCUGAUCCAGCCAUGCCGCGUGAGUGAAGAAGGCCCUCGGGUUGUAAAGCUCUUUUGUCCGGAAAGAAAAGCGCCGGGUUAAUACCCUAGUGUCCUGACGGUACCGGAAGAAUAAGCACCGGCUAACUUCGUG
rnacentral:rRNA from 1 species